AUUGAACGCUGGCGGAAUGCUUUACACAUGCAAGUCGAACGGCAGCACGGGAGCUUGCUCCUGGUGGCGAGUGGCGAACGGGUGAGUAAUGCGUCGGAACGUACCGAGUAAUGGGGGAUAACGCAGCGAAAGCUGUGCUAAUACCCCAUACGCCCUGAGGGGGAAAGUGGGGGAUCGCAAGACCUCACGUUAUUCGAGCGGCCGACGUCUGAUUAGCUAGUUGGUGGGGUAAUGGCCUACCAAGGCGACGAUCAGUAGCGGGUCUGAGAGGAUGAUCCGCCACACUGGAACUGAGACACGGUCCAGACUCCUACGGGAGGCAGCAGUGGGGAAUUUUGGACAAUGGGGGAAACCCUGAUCCAGCGAUUCCGCGUGAGUGAAGAAGGCCUUCGGGUUGUAAAGCUCUUUCAGCUGGAACGAAACGGUACGCUCUAACAUAGUGUGCUAAUGACGGUACCGGCAGAAGAAGCACCGGCUAACUACGUGCCAGCAGCCGCGGUAAUACGUAGGGUGCGAGCGUUAAUCGGAAUUACUGGGCGUAAAGCGUGCGCAGGCGGAUUGUUAAGCAAGAUGUGAAAUCCCCGGGCUUAACCUGGGAAUGGCAUUUUGAACUGGCAGUCUAGAGUGCGUCAGAGGGGGGUGGAAUUCCACGUGUAGCAGUGAAAUGCGUAGAGAUGUGGAGGAACACCAAUGGCGAAGGCAGCCCCCUGGGAUGACACUGACGCUCAUGUACGAAAGCGUGGGUAGCAAACAGGAUUAGAUACCCUGGUAGUCCACGCCCUAAACGAUGUCAACUGGUUGUUGGG
rnacentral:rRNA from 1 species